GUGGUGGUGGUGAUUUUGUUUAGUGGAUUGGUUGUUGGUGAUGCGGGUUCUGUGUUUGUGUUUGUUCUUCCAAUGAUUUUUUUCCCUUUUUCUCCUCCUCCUUCUCCUUCUUCUUCCCAUUCUCUUUCUCCUUGUCCUCGCCCUCCUCCUCUUUUUUAUAUAUAUGUUUACCUUUGAUCUCACUUCUUCCUCCUUCUUUCUCCUUCUCUUCCUCCUUUUCCUCCUUUUGUUAUGUGUACUUUGUCCUCUUUGUUUUCCCUUCACCUCUUCCUCCUAUUUCUGUUUCCCCUUUGUCUCUUUUUCCUCUUCCUCUUCCUAUUCUUCCUCUUCUUUUAUGUGUACCUACUAUUGUCCUCUUACUUUUUCCUCUCGUUCCCCUAUUUCUGCUUCCUCUUUUUCUCUUCCUCCUCCUCCUCCUUCUCCUCUUCCUCCUAUUUCAAUAAGUACGAGAACAAGUAGUAUUAGGUAUAAGUCAGAUCAAUUAAGGCACACGAUGGAAAUAGGCAAGAACUGGCUCACGAACAGGCUGGUGGAGGAGUGGAACAAACUGAGGUAUGUAGUCAAGGAAAACAAUUGAAAGCUUUAACUGGAGGCUAGAAACUGAUCUCUCUUUCGGCCACCUCUUUGGAUUCUUUUAGGGAGCAGCGAGUAGCGGGCUUUUACUUUUAUUAUUGUUUACUAUUUUUGUGUGCCCUUGAGCUGUUUAUUGUCGUAAAAAAAAAAAAAAAGAUGAACUUAUGGACGAGAAGGGAAUGCGGUAUAAGCAACCCAUCAUCAGGAGCUGUGUAUGUGAAGGUCCUGGCCUCUUGUAGUCUCGUAUCUUUGUGUAUCCUUGUACAUGUCAGAGUACGUGUGAUACCUCGUUCUACUUCUUCCUCUUCCUCCCCUUCGCCUCGUCUGUCUGUCUCUUGUCAGUCAAUUUGUCUCUUUGUGUCUGUCUGUGCAUCUCGUUGUAAGCUGACGGUAAUGGUGGUGGUGGUGGUAGUGAGUUAUGUUGUUACUGUUACUGGUGGUACUUUUUGUUGUUACUGGUGCUGGUAAUGAUGGUGACGGUGAUGGUGAGUGACAUGAAGGUUGCCCGCUGAUGAAAAUGUAGCUGAGGCGAUGAUGAAGGGGGAGUUAAAAGUGAGGGUACGAAAAUUACGGAAAAAAGAGAAAGAAGGAAGUAAAGAAAGGAAGGGGAAAGGUGAAAAAACGGAUGAGAUAUGGAAGAUGGAGGAAUAAAGUAACAAAUAAAAAAGAAAUGGGAAGACGAAAGGAGAAUAGAAAGAAGGAAGACAGCGAGUUAGAAAGAUGGAAUGUGGGGGAAUAGAUAUAAAGAAAUGGAGAAUGGAGGAGAGAGAGAAGAGAAAAUGGAAAGUGGAGAAAGAAACGAAAUGGAGAACAGAGGUGAGAGAAGAGAUGACGAAAAAGGGAGAAAUAAACCAAAUGGAGAAUGGAGGAGAGAAAGAAGAGAAGAUGACGGAAAAGGGAGAAAGAAACGAAAUGAAGAAUGGAGGAGAGAAAGAAGAGAAGAUGACGGAAAAGGGAGAAAUAAACGAAAUGGAGAAUGGAGGUGAGAGAAGAGAAAAUAAUAAAGGGAGAAAGAAACCAAAUAAAGAAUGGAGAUGAGAAAGAAGAGAAGAAGAAAAGACUGAGCAAAGACGAAAACUAACGCAAGAAAGGAAAUAAAUAAAGGAGACAAACAAAAAAGACACAAGGAAAAUAGAAGAAAAAAAGAGUAUUAUGAAAACGACGCCAGAAAAAUGAAAAGAAAAAAAAUGAAGAAAAAACACAAGAAAAGAAGGAAAAGACAGACAGAAUAGACGAAAUCUCACGCAAGAGGAAAAAAGAGAAUAAGAUAAAGACGUGAAAGAAUAAAAGAAAAAAAAACUACUGUCAAAACACAUAUAUUACCAUUUUCUAUGAACUAAAUCAGACACAAUUUGCAUCAGAGAGAGAGAGAGAGAGAGAGAGAGAGAGAGAGAGAGAGAGAGAGAGAGAGAGAGAGAGAGAGAGAGAGA